rnacentral:rRNA from 1 species
CAGUCGCCGCGGGAAUACGUAGGGUGCAAGCGUUAAUCGGAAUUACUGGGCGUAAAGCGUGCGCAGGCGGUUUGUUAAGACAGAUGUGAAAUCCCCGGGCUCAACCUGGGAACUGCAUUUGUGACUGGCAAGCUAGAGUGUGGCAGAGGGGGGUGGAAUUCCGCGUGUAGCAGUGAAAUGCGUAGAUAUGCGGAGGAACACCGAUGACGAAGGCAGCCCCCUGGGCCAACACUGACGCUCAUGCGCGAAAGCGUGGGGAGCAAGCAGGAUUAGAUACCCGUGUAGUCCCUGUCUCUUAUAC